rnacentral:misc_RNA from 1 species
UUUUUUAAAAAAAAAAAAUAAUAUCUUGCUCCCAGAAAUGGCUAGUAUCACAAAGCAAAGCUCAUCUCUCUAUCAAAAUAAGCUCAUAUUUGAACAUGAAUGCUUUUUUUCCAAGCCACAAACCACCGGCCAUAUAAAACAAACAAUGGCACUACAUAAACCAUACUAACUUAAUCCCUUCCAAAUGACGGCUUGACAACACAAUGAACAAGUUCACUGCAUGUCAAGAAACAACCCAUUUACCAUUUAAAAUUCUAAAAUUAUUUUGAGAAACAUGUCAACAAAAUCCAAAUGUUAGGGAAAAUUUUGAUGUGACAAAACUUGGGAGAUUAUUUACUUCUGAAAUAUAUCAAGUUAAGGAUCAAAGCUUAACACCACAAAAAAUUUAUUGCAAAUUGUUAGGAAAUAAGAAAAAAGCAAGACACUAAUUCAGGCAUAAAAAGGGUUUCAUUAAAUUGCAAAGCCAAGCAUAAGUGAGAACCUUUCUAAGACAUACAUAUGUAUUCUAAUUUCAUAAACCCAACAGAUUUUUCCCAUGAAAGAGAACUGAAUCCAUAAAAUGCCUAACCUCAACAGAUUUUUCUCACAAGAGCUUCUUUAAUAAGAAAUAGGAGAGAAAUGUCUUGUAGUUCAUGGAGAAUAAAAGUAACGAUAACUGUGUUGUAGAGCAAAUAAAAGAGGAAAGAGAAGGUCCUAUCCAACAAAAUGGUUAUAUAGUCCAAAA